UGGUAAGAAUUUGAAUUAAAAUAAGAAAUAUUUGAUUUUCUUUUUGUAAACACAGUAUCUGUUCCACCCCCUUUCAAGGGUUUCUCAAGGGUUUUGCAUCCGGCAGCCAUGAAUCACGGCAAGAGAAUACUGAGUUCGCUUCGAUUGAGGAAUUCUCUUUUCUUCACUCAGCUUUCACGAGCCACUUCUUCCAAUCAUCAGGUGACUCAACACUUAUAUCUUUCUCCUUCACUUCUCACGCAAAUUUACACUACCACUAGUAUUCUCGGUUCAAGUCAAAAUGUCUUCUUUUCAUCAAAAACUGAAUCUUUUGUUGACAUUAUACUAUCCAACGACUGGUCGAAACAAUUAGAAAAGGAUUUAGGAAAAAAUGACUUUCCUGUGACCCAUGAAGCUGUUAUGUAUUUGUUGAAGAAACUUGAUAAAGAACCGCGAAAGGCAGGGGAUUUCUUGAAAUGGGUUGUUAAGCAAAAGGGGUUUAAACCUAGUUCUUCUAUGUACAGUCUGAUGCUUAGAAUUUAUGCUAACAGGGAUUCAAUGAAGGACUUUUGGACUACUAUUAAGGAAAUGAAAGAGAACGGGUUUUAUAUUGAUGAGGAAACGUAUAAAUCAAUUCAUUCUAUUCUUCGGAAUUUGAAAAUGGAAACUGAUGUCACUGCUUUGAAGCAUUUUUAUGGGAGGAUGAUUAAAGAUAAUGCUAUGGGUGAUGUGGCGAAAGAUGUGUCUGAAUUGAUUACAAAACAAGAAUGGGGAGUUGAGGUGGAGAGACAAUUAGGGGAGAUGAAACUCUCGGUGUCGGAUAAUUUUGUGCUUAAGGUGUUGAAGGAACUUAGAGAAGUAGGAUAUCCACUGAAAGCUUUCAGCUUUUUCAAAUGGGUUGCGAGGAAUUUAGAUUUUCAACACAGCACUGUUACUUAUAAUGGGAUUCUUAGGGUUCUGUGCCGAGAAGAGUCGAUUGAGGAGUUCUGGGGUGUAGUAAAAGAGAUGAUGAGCCUUGGGUUUGAAAUAGAUCUUGAUACAUAUAUAAAGAUCUCGAGGCAUUUUCAGAAGAUUAAGAUGUUGAAAGAUGCAGUAGAGCUAUAUGAGCUGAUGAUGGAUGGUCAGUUUAAACCAUCACUUGGUGAGUGCAAUAUUCUUUUAAGAUCCAUUGCACAGUCACAUCCCUCAGAUCUUGAUUUGCUAUUUAGAGUUGUGGAAAAAUUUGAGGCCGCAGGGCAUUCACGCUCAAAGAUUAUUUAUGAUGUCAUUCAUAGGUGUUUGACUAACUUGGGGCGAUUUGAGGAAGCAGAGAAGAUAACAGAAGCUAUGAGAGAUGCAGGAUUUGAACCUGACAAUAUUACCUAUAGCCAAUUAAUAUAUGGACUUUGCAAAGUGAGGAGGCUGGAGGAGGCAUCAAAGGUGAUAGAUGUGAUGGAAGAAUGUGGAUGCAUUCCGGAUAUCAAGACUUGGACUGUUCUGAUACAAGGGCAUUGUUUUGCUGGUGAAGUUGAUAAGGCGCUGUUUUGUUUUGCUAAGAUGAUGGAGAAAAAUGUUGAUACAGAUGCUGAUCUGUUGGAUGUACUACUUAAUGGUUUUUUGAGUCAAAGAAGAGUUUUUGGUGCAUAUCAGUUAUUGACCGAGUUGGUGAAUAAGUUUCAAAUGCGCCCAUGGCAAGCAACAUACAAACUUGUCAUUCAAAAGCUCUUGGGGGAAAGGAAAUUCGAAGAAGCGCUUGAUCUACUCCGUCGGAUGAAGAAACACAACUAUCCACCUUUUCCAGAACCCUUUCUUCAAUAUAUUUCAAAGUCAGGAACAGUGGAAGAUGCAGUGGAGUUUUUAAAGGCGUUGAGCGUCAAGGACUAUCCAUCUGUUUCAGCCUAUCAACAUGUUUUCCAGUCCUUCUUUGCAGAAGGUAGACAUUCUGAGGCAAAAGAUCUGCUCUACAAGUGCCCACAUCAUAUUCGGCAACACCCAGCAAUUUGUGGCCUCUUUGGUUCGUCAAAUUCUAACAGUGGAAAAGCUAAAAGGUUCUCUCGGCAGAGCUCGACUUCUGUGUAGGCACAAGGUGCAAUUAGUGAAAUCUGGGAGGAGGAUUAAGGUUAGUGUCUGAUACGAUCUUCCGAUGCUAACCUCGCCAGGAUCUUUAACUUUAAAGGACAAAUACACAAGUUAAUCAGAUAGGUCAGAUAACACUCUAUUAGCUGGUUCAGUCAAUGCAUGCAAAAUCUUGCCAGGUUCAUGUCUUUAAGAUCUUUCACUUAGAACCUGAAUAAGGGUGAUUUCCUUGUAUUCAUUGUGUUGAUUUCACAAUUAUAUGUUCUUAUAUUUACUUAAAAAAAUUGGCAAGAUGAUAACUCAUAUGCUUCUGCUGCUUCACACAGUUUUUUACCGAGAUGCAAUGAGCCUUGAGACUCGUGAUUUAGUGCUAUUCUGUGUCAAACUUGUGAAACCUGAGAGAUGUGGGUGACCCUACAUAUAUUCCACAUAUAUAGAUAUUUAACUGCAUAAUAUUCCUAGAGAUUAGCUAAUUCAAUAAUAGCCUGUACACCUGGAAUUUUGAGUUUAUAAUUCUCACUCAUCUAGACUUAUACCAGAUUGUUUUCUUCCUCUACCGUUUCUUGAAUUCUCAAGAAUUGCUUCGCAACCGACGAUGUGAAUAGCUGAAACCAUGAUGAACCGUCAUCCAGAGAAAACUGUUGAACAAAAGACUCAAAAGUCAUCAAAUUGGCUCAAAAUGUGCUGGUGGGGAGGUAAUAGGUAUCACGUGGAAUUAGUUGAGAAGUGCCUGGGUUUCUUUCUGCUUCUGCUGCCGCCUGCCAGCCUGAUAAUUGAACUGAUGGUAUUUGUGAGACUAGCUGUAAUUAACAUUCUGUCGGUUCAAGGGAAAUUACAAACCGCCUGGCUACAAAUAGUUGUUUUCUGCAUUCACUCUGAACUGUCGAAUAUGGAGAGUAAGCUAAGAAGCUACUUCAGUUUGAGAGGUCAACGCCACCGUGCAGCUGAGAAAUGCAGUCUUUGGCCAUCAUGUCAUUUUCAUUUGUGUUAUAUACACUCAAAUGUGCAAUAUUUAUGUUAUCAGGCUGAAAAUUUUGUUGUCAUUACUUUUCACUUUGUUUACUAAACUUUACACAGAAAAGUCCAUUUAUUGUAUUGGAUUUUUCGGAGUUUCUUGUUACUGAUUAGUAGGUUUGAAGUUCUUAUGA